ensembl:lncRNA novel transcript, antisense to DMXL2
UCCUAGUUAUAUCACAUACUAACAAAAAAAAGAAUUCAACAAAAUGAGGAGAGAAACUAUCAUGGCACCAUCCUCAAGCAUGAACAAUUUCUAAGAGUCUGGAGAAAAGCAGGAGGGAAGGCAAACCACAAAGAAGAAACCUCAAAAUAGAAAAUGCCAUGAUCAUAUCAGAUUCCUUAUGGAUGACUUUCGCCUUUCCACCUGGAUAGCCCAGAUCAGCUUCAACCUAGAAAACAUUCAUCAGCAGUUUUAGUUGCUGCAGCACAGCUCUAUUUAGAGUUAUGCACAUCCCAUAAGAUUUAAAUGUAGGAUAAGAAGAAAAUGUAGCAGCAGCAGCAGCAGCAGCAGCAAGAAAAAAGGGUGACUGCCUUCCUUUCAUCACGAAGGGCCAUUCAAAUUUUCUGCCCAUGCCUCCAGGGACUCCCCUAUGGCUGCUGCAGCUGAUAAAGAUGCAUCCAAGAAAACUUCCAAGGAAUGGUCAAUGUGUGGCACAGCUAACUCAGUGAAGGCCAAACUGCUGAAGAAUCUAUUUGUCUUAACUAGCUGAAUUCACCAAUCUGUUUCCCAAAAACUUGUUUUGUGAAAUAUUUUCCUGUAAUAUCUUCAGUGAAUAAAAGAUCUUAUUCUUAU